CCUACGGGAGGCAGCAGUGGGGGAUAUUGCACAAUGGGGGAAACCCUGAUGCAGCGACGCCGCAUGAGUGAAGAAGUAUUUCGGUAUGUAAAGCUCUAUCAGCAGGGAAGAAAAUGACAGUACCUGACCAAGAAGCCCCGGCUAACUACAUGCCAGCAGCCGCGGGAAUACGUAGGGGGCAAGCGUUAUCCGGAUUUUCUGGGGGUAAAGGGAGCGUAGUGGGUUCUGUAGGUCUGGAGUGAAAGGCCUGGGCCCAACCCCCGGACUGCUUUUGAAACUGUGGAACUGGAGUACAGGAGGGGCAGGCGGAAUUCCUGGUGUAGCGGUGAAAUGCGUAGAUAUCAGGAGGAACACCGGCGGCGAAGGCGGCCUGCUGGCCUGAAACUGACGUUGAGGCUCGAAAGCGUGGGGAGCAAACAGGAUUAGAUACCCCUGUAGUC
rnacentral:rRNA from 1 species